rnacentral:rRNA from 1 species
CCUACGGGUGACUGCAGUGAGGAAUAUUGGUCAAUGGGCGGGAGCCUGAACCAGCCAAGCCGCGUGAGGGAAGAAGGUACAGCGUAUCGUAAACCUCUUUUGUCAGGGAACAAAGGCGGGUACUAGUCCCCGGUUGAGGGUACCUGACGAAAAAGCAUCGGCAAACUCCGUGCCAGCAGCCGCGGUAAUACGGGGGAUGCGAGCGUUAUCCGGAUUUAUUGGGUUUAAGGGGUGCGCAGGCGGCCUGUUAAGUCAGCGGUAAAAGCCCGGGGCUCAACCCCGGCGAGCCGUUGAAACUGGCGGGCUGGAGUUGGGGAGAGGUAGGCGGAAUGCGCGGUGUAGCGGUGAAAUGCUUAGAUAUCGCGCAGAACCCCGAUUGCGAAGGCAGCGUACCGGAU